CGGAUUUCAUAUGCAUACUUCUAUGGGUGUUCCACGCCAGCCGAGCAAGUGCCAUUGAGAUGACUGGGAAUGCAGACGGAUAGGUUCUCCAGGAGCAGGAUUACCUUGUUUCUAGGAAGCCAGCAAUGUUUUAGACUUAAUCCAGCUUUCCCCAAGAACACUUCAUAGAGGUCAUAAGCCGAUUCCUUCGGCCACUAUGUGGGAAGCUGUAAAAGUAAACAAGCUCAUUGGCCCACAUGUAAAUGCUUUACCGGACGGACACAAUUGAACUCUCUGUGGUGGACUCCAACAGCACAGGGAAAUAAGGAAGUAAGCAAUAGGAACAUUAGCAAGAAAGGCCAGUCGUGGGGACUGCAGCUCAAAGAGCGACGGGAAAUAAUGGCUUUCUUGUGAAGUGUAGGCUUCUAUUUUUAAAGUCUGAUUGGACGCGAGAUGACUGAGCUUCAUACGUCACAGAUGGAAUCAGAGGGCCAGAAUAACCUUCCAUAUCAAUGAUUAGAUUACCGCAACCAGCCCAACAGCGGAUACAGGUGAAAUGUCAGUGUGCCACGCAGCCCCCGUGUAUUGCUUUUCUCAAGAGCUGUGUUCUGAUUAAAUUAGCCUAACGUGGGAAGUUGCUAAUCCGAGCCAAACCAGGAUUAAGCCUGCAGGCUACCAAGAGUACAUGGGAGAAUGUGUGUUUGAGUGUGGGCCGCUAAGUGGGUGGUGGAUAACGAGGGUUUUCGGAGAACAAAUAAACCUUGCAGAACAUGAGGCCAACAAAGAUUCUCCUGUAAUUCCAUUUUGUCUUAAUUCAUCAUGUGAUGUCUUGUAUAAAAUCAAAUGAAAUGUGUAUUAAUAACAAGCAAUACACGCUUAAUUUGCAUUGGAAUUUGGCUGAAGUGUUGAGUGAAUUCUGUAGCACUCGGUUUCCAUAAAGAAGUGCUUACGAGAACUUUUUCAUUUAUAAUGUGGUCAAGCGCUGCAGGUGGCUACUUAUGCAAGACUAUACAAAUGAGAUAUGC
ensembl:lncRNA